CAGUCAUUGUUGAGUCAGAUGUUGCAGAGAUUGCUGUUCUUGACUAUGGUUUUGGAUCCAAAUUAUCGAAGUUUGACAUGGGUCCAAUUUUAUUAAAAUCGGUCAAGUAUUCGCACAGGAAUCGCAAAUUAAAAUCAGCAAACUACUUUGAAUUAUCACCGGAGUUUAUCGGCAUUAUCAUACCAUGUGAUCUUCUACGAUUGUCAGCAAAGUUGAAGAUUGUUCGAAGGAGUUCGCCGUUGACUAAAAGGUUUAUCUGAACAGCCAGUUGUCAAAAGAUGAAGUAGAAAUAUUUUCUUAAAGCUGUGACAGUUUAAUAUCAGUUCAACUGAUUCAGUUGGGAAACUUGUGGAGGUGAAUUUCAAAAUCGCGAUGCCACAGAGAUGAUGCCAUGUGGACCUUGUGGCUUUCACCUUUGUGGGAAAGCUGGUCGUGCUGUGUGUUCAAAAAUGAAGAUGAAGCCGAUUUCGAGGGAAUCUUUCAACGCGCUAGCCAGUAAAGAUUUGUGUUGGAUAUGUUCCUGUUUCUUCAGGAGCCAAGAUAAGAUUGUUUCCUUUUUACAUGAGAAUUAUAUUGGUUUUAUAAUGUAGAAAGCUAUAUUAAUUAAUUCCCAAGGACAUUGUACUAGCUGUUUAGUAACUGGAAACUUUCAGGCUUUAAAUUCAUGAAUUGAAGCCACAUAUUGAAUAUUAAUACUCAAAUAAGUACUACUCAUCUUAUUACAUCUGCUUAAUGUUGCUCCAGUAUGUGUGAUCAAUCCAGAUGCAUUUACCUUAUAUUUUGGAUGUAAGGAAAAUUGCUAGCACUUUACUCUUCAUGAAAUCUGAUGGGGAAAAAACCAACCAACAAUUACUACAUCAAGAUAGUUACCUAGUGGCCACGUUGCAUUUUGAGAUAUAUACUUUGAUGAUUGGAAUUUACCCUCUUCGAUAGCCAAGG
rnacentral:lncRNA from 1 species